UGAAUGAGUGGUGCUCAACCAGCCUACUGUCAAAUUGUAUAUAUAAUUUUCUAAACUUUGGACUCUGGAAUAUUGUGCUCAAGGGGAAUUGUCCUCAAAUAAAUUAUUUGACCUAAUUUAAUUGUUGUACAAAUUACAAUAAUUAAAUAUAUUAUUUUCAACAAUGUUUUCAACAUGUUCAAGAGUUUUAAAAACAAAUGCCAAUUUGUCUUCCAUUUUACAUCGUUUUGAAUCAACAUUGGUGAUUGCAGAGCACAAUAAUGAAAUUCUUUCUCCAAUUACACAAAAUGCAUUAGCGGCAGCUACAAAAAUCGGUGGUGAUAUUACUGUUUUGGUAGCUGGUACAAAAUGUGGUCCAGCAUCGGAAGCAGUGAGUAAAACACCAGGAAUUGCUAAAGUAAUAAUUGCUGAAAGCGAUGCUUUUAAAGGAUUUACUCCAGAAUCAAUUACUCCACUUGUUUUGGCAACUCAUAAACAAUUAAACUUCAGUCAUAUUGUAGCGGGUGCUAGUGCCUUUGGUAAAGCAUUACUACCACGAGUUGCUGCUAAAUUGGACGUAUCUCCAGCCAGUGAUGUUAUUGAUAUUAAAUCGUCAGAUACAUUUGUACGUACAAUAUACGCGGGUAAUGCAGUGCAAACAAUUAAAAUGAAGGAUAGCGUGAAAAUAAUAUCCGUUCGAGGAACCGCAUUUAAACCCACCUCAAUCGAGGGUGGUAGUGCAAAAAUUGAAACAGCGCCCACAGGCGAUUACAAAACAAAUUUAGUUGAAUUUAUUAAACAAGAAUUGAGCAAAUCUGACAGACCAGAACUCGCGUCGGCCAAGGUCGUUGUAUCAGGUGGUCGAGGUCUUAAAUCUGGUGAAAACUUUCAAAUUUUAUAUACAUUGGCUGAUAAAUUAAAUGCUGCUGUAGGUGCUUCUCGUGCUGCAGUCGAUGCAGGCUACGUACCCAAUGACAUGCAAGUUGGACAAACUGGAAAAAUUGUUGCUCCAGAUCUAUACAUAGCAGUGGGAAUAUCUGGUGCUAUUCAACAUUUAGCGGGAAUGAAAGAUUCAAAAACAAUUGUGGCUAUAAACAAGGAUCCAGACGCACCAAUUUUCCAAGUUGCUGAUUAUGGUUUAGUUGCUGAUCUCUUUAAAGUUGUGCCCGAGAUGAAUGAGAAACUUUAAAAACAUGAGAAUUUCUAGUAAGCAAGCAUUUUUAUGGACAUAAAUAAUUAAAUUCAGUGAAUAAUUUCAAAUAAUUUUAAAUAAUUUUUGAUAAACUUGAAAGAAUGUAUUAGAAAUUAAAUUUUAUACUCUGUAAAUAGUAUACAUAUAUAUACUCAGAUUUAAUAACGUGAAUUUUCAGUUAGUAGCAAAUUUACUACGAUAAUAAUUUUUAAUAUUGUUACAAAUUUGCAAAUUGCUGCGAAAUUUUUUCCUAUCUUUUGAUAAUUUAUAAAAAAUAAUUCAAAUGAAUUUAAAACAUAAUUUUUAAAUUUUUUCAAAUUUAAAUUUCUUUUUAUUAGAUAAAAAUUGAUAUUUUUUAUAGUGAAAUUGUAACUUACAGUUUUUGUAAGUUUUAAUAAAAAUUUAUUGUUAUUAAAUUUUGUAUUUAUUUGUACUUCAAGUAAUUUUACUUUUCAGUACAUCUAGAAGAAUAAUAUUUAAAGAAAAAAUUUUUUUUAAUGAAACUUAUUUUUUUAAAUAAUUUUCUAAAGAAUUUGUUUAUUUUCAAUGAUUUAAAAAUGAAUUUACAAAAAUUGCAAAAAUGACAGUGAACGAAAAUGGUAUUUUUAAAAAAAAAAAAAAAGAUUCAACGGUUAAGAAAUUGCAUUUAUUUGUGGACUUUUGACUCUUUGUUCAUGAGAGCAUUUACUAAAACUCGUCAAUGCCAUCAAGUUUUGCACACAUCUUUGAUUAAAGUCUAUGUGUGAUGAUGACGUGCUUGUGUGCCCGGUCAUGCUUAACAGAAUGACUUAACAUGAGACCAAGCCUCAUGCGGCAAUUCAGUUGAUUUAAAAUCUAAAGAAAGGGAAAGCGCAUGUAACACCCGCUCGAACUUAAAGUCAGUCUCGUAAGCGCGUUCCGCGCAGUAGUCUUGUUAUCAAAUAAACCAACUGGAUGUUUAUUAGAUUGCGCGGAUCGCUGAUACAGAAAAAUGAGAAACAAAUCAUCAAACGACUUUUGCCUUGAUAAACUUUUUGCUCACCGGGUCUUCGGAUGAGGCGGUGACCACCUUUGCCUCAACGAAGAAGUUAAGGAUGACAAUUCUAGAACCAAUCCUGGGGAUUUCGCCAAUUUUAUGGCUAUUGAUAUAUGCCAGCUUAAUUCUUUUACUAUCGCCAUUAGUAUUAGUGAUGGUUGUGUUCUUGCCAAAUUUUCCGAUAUUGCUUUUACGAAGAAUGUGCACAAUUCCUAUUGAAUCUAUUUAAAAAAAAAAAAAAAAUUGAUUCUCAGAGGCCAAAGAACAAUAUCACCAAAGAGCUGUGCUCAAUCAAUGUUAAAACACAUUUCUAAAAUAGAAAUCGCCCCUAAAAAAUUUAAUUUCAAUUUAAAAUAAAAUCUAUACAAAUAGAUUUUAUAAAAUUUAUUGGGAAAUUAAUUCAUUUAGUAAUAUUAAUAUUAAUUUCAUUUAAUUAUAUUGUCAUUUAAGUGGAAAAGCAAUAGCCUGCCAUAAAAUUGUUUAGUUUUUUUUUUUUUCUGAAGUUUGCUUUAAAUAUAUUGGGCCUGAACAUAUUUUUAUAUGUUUUGGUUGUGGUUUUUUUUAUAGCUUCCGUCUAUUUCCCGAGAAUAAACGCGGUUGACCGAAAAAAAAGAGUUUUAAUUCUUUUUUCAAGUUAUAAAAUAAUUUUUACGAUUUCCUUCUUGAUUAAAUGAAUUUUGACACACAAGGAAAAAAGCAAUAAUGUAAAAAAAAUUAUGUAAAUAACAAAUUGAUAUAAAAAAUUUCCUAAAUCUGUAAUUUUCUAAUAAAACAUUCAAAAAUAA